rnacentral:lncRNA from 1 species
UGGGCUGCAGGUCCUGGCGUUGUGCUGGAUCAUCGCGCCCGUACUCUGAAGUUUUCUCCGUGGCGCUCUUUGAGAGGGGUUCCUCCUGCAUCUUGAGAAUAUUUUGCAUUUCGGCUCCCUUCUCUUCUCGCUGCCAUCGGAUGCCCCAAAUAGGUCCUGUCCCCUCGGUGAAUCAGACUUCGGAAACCGCCUCGCUUCAGGGUCAGAGUCCAAGUACAGAUGAGCUUGAGGAUUCUGAAUGCACGCCCGGCUCUAGACCUUACAGACACACGCUUGGACAGACUUCUCCAUAUACGACCCAGGAACGGACCCCUUGAGAAGGGAUUCUUCAAGCCCGCUGCCCUCUCCAGCGUCCUGGCCAGUGGCAUCGCGUUCCCAGGAAACCUCGCUUCAGAUAUUGCCCACCACCCCGCCCUAUUCACGGUUCCUGGGUCUUCCUGGAGGAAUGACAUCUCAGAGAAUGCGGACUCCUAUGUUCAUGUCAUUUGAGCCGCCGCGUCCCUUAUUUGAUGUACCCCUUGUUGGUCCCGGAGGAUGGCAACUAGACAAAAGGUCACAGGCCCCCACACCCGCUCCAUAACGGCUUCUUGGCUUUUUGUUUCUUUUAAGCAAUGAGGAAAGAGAUGACUUUCGUGAAAACUUUUGCUGGAGAAGAGAUCCUUCCCUCUGUAUAUGUGUGUGGGAUGGGAAGUGUCAGACUCAGACCUUUAGUUCCUUGAGAUCAAAAAGGUUUCGUGUUUGCUUUCGUCUCUUCUUUGCAUCCCUAGCGUCUUUAAAAGAGUAGGCAGGCGCGGUGGCACAUGCCUGUAAUCCCAGCACUUUGGGGGUCGAGGCGGGAGUAUCACUUGAACCUAGGAGUUGGAGACCAACCUGGGCAACAUAGUGAGACCUCCAUCUCUACAAAAAAUAAGAAAAUUAGCCCGGUGCCAGUGGUCCCAGCUAGCCGGUAGGCUGAGGUGGGAGAAUUGCUUGAGCCAGGAAGGUUGAGGUUGCAGUGAGCUAUGAUAACACCACUGCACUCCUGCUUGGGUGACAGAGCAAGACCCUGUCUAAAAACUAUAUAUAUAUACGUGUAUAUAUAUAUAUGUGUGUAUAUAUAUAUACGUGUAUAUAUGUGUGUAUAUAUAUACGUGUAUAUAUAUAUGAUGUUUUCUAUUUUAUUUUAUUUUUGCACCUUUUGUACUCCUCCUGGAGUUCAUCCUGACAGACAGAGGUUUGUCUGGAGCCAGAGCUCACAAAUAGUUGGAACUGCCCUAAGGAUGCCAUUUUGUUCUUAAAUAUAACUAGCAAAUAUUACUCAAAGCUGUGCACGAUCCCCAAACCCUGGUCCCCAAUAAUUUGAAUAAUCUGAAUAUGCAAGUUAAGGUAUUGAGAUGGGAACCCUCCU